CCAGAUUAAUCAUGAUUUAAAGAGCCAAAGUGCUAAAUAACUUGCUCAAAUCCUAACAAUCAAAUAACCAAAUAAUAAACACUAACAAUUAUAGAAAGUUCAACCAAACCCAAGGUAUAAACUUUAGAAACACAUAAUGAACACAAAAUCCAGAACUUGUAUAUUAACUAAAAUUGGAAUCAAAUACAAAAGAUAAAGAAUUUGGAAGGAAUACAACCCUUGUCACAUGAGCUUUCUUCCUUGCCUUCUUCAUCCUCCAUCCUCAUCCUAAUCUAGAUAAUAAACAAGAAUGGAAAAGCUACACUACUCUAUACUAAGCUAAACUAACACUAGAGAGAUGAAAGAGCUACAUUUCUGCAGCUUCAAGCUUCUCCCGUAUGUCUCUCUAUAUUUUGCUAUGGACUCCCCCAAUCUAUCUUCUUGCAAUGAAUUUGGCUAUUUAAUGAUGAACGGUGGUCAAGAAAUGAAGCUUUACACUUUCUCCUUACAGCUGGUAAUGUUUCUCACAUGUCUAGCAUCGCAUGUGAGUUGGUGGAGGUGAAAUUGAGUUUUACGCGUACAAAGCAGCCUUUUCUGACCACAAUCCGGCCAUAAAUCCGGCCACAAAUCCGGCCAAGUUCCGGCCGGAUUGCUAUAGUAAAUCCGAGCUGCUACAGUGCCUCGGAUCCAUAUGGAUCCGAGCUCGGGUCCACUAACCCAGAAACAGCCGAGGGUUCGGAUGAAUAGUGGAUCCGAGUGUGGAUCACUUGCUCUGUUUUUUGCCCAACUUCAACCGAUCUUUUCUUGAUGUUAGAGGCUGAACCAACUCAUGUCUAAAACACGAAAGUUGUAGCCUUUUAAGUUAUCUUUCCAAUGCAUCAAGAAUCACCUCAUUUGGAUCUGUGUAGGCUGAGAUAUGACUGAAAUACCCUUGCCUGCUCCAUGCCUUGUUCCAGCUUCGACCAGUAGAAAUUUGCUAUUGUAAUUCGGCAUUUUGACCUGGAAAACCUUCAAACUGGAUUCAGAUGUCUUCACCAAAGUUGUAGAUCUAUCUCUUAUCUUCAAAUGGGUUCAAGAAUCAUCCCAAUCCGAUCAUUGUAACUCAAGUUAUAGCCGAAAUACGAAAAUAUGUCAAAACUGUCAAAAUACACAAAAUCCAAGUAAAAAGUGAUAAAAACCUCAUCUAAUCACUUAAAAACAUUUAUUCACCAAUUAUAGCCAAAAUGAUUCAUUUUCUUCCAAUAUUAUAACCAAAGUGACUAAAAAUAAUAUAAAAUAUUAGACAAUUAUUACGUAAAUUAGUCACUUAUCAUCUAUUUUCAUUUCCUCGGCACAACAUUUUCCAGCAAGUAGGUAGUUACCAAACAAGUUUUCUUUAGCACAACUCACCAUUUUUAUCUAAAAUUCAACAUGUAUGUUAGAAUUAAUGUGUUAGAAGGUGUUUGAACCACGAGAUAAGAUUCUGCAACCAAAUUCUAUAGAGGAAACUAGAAAAUUUCCAUCUUUCCUCCUUCGGCCAGCUUAGCAGAACUUCCAACUAUUUCUUGCAAAAAUCCUCACUCAAGUUAUCCACUCUGCUUUAGAUUCUCAGAUAGCACAAGAGUGUAAACAUAUAGCUUGAAUUCUUAAAUGAAAAUUGUUCCAUAAUCUCGAAUGAUACACUACAUAUCCAAUCCCUUUCUCGGAUGAAGCUAUAAGAAUUCCACCGCGUUUCUUUCUUUGUUUUCAACUCAAAGUUCCAACUUUCACAAGUUCCUAUAGUUAAAUUUCACUUUAUGCCAGAAAUAAACAUUUUCAUGCAUCUUCUACAAUAUUCUUCCAUUUUUCCAUUGAUAACAGGCUGCAAUUCAAUCAAUCAUCCCUCGGUUCCAACAGGUUGAGUCCAACUUCAAUUUUAUUCUUUCAUCAGAUUUUUCCUCGGUUGUAAUUUAUUUUUCCUUGCUGAAACCUAACAUGCAAUCCAUAUAUUCAGUUAUACUCAGUAAAUGAAGGAACGUUGCAAAGAAUUUUACCUUUUCCUUCAAGUUUUUAUGGUCGCAGACUGCUCCUAAUCUUAGCCUCAGUUCCUCUAGUUCUUGCACCAGCUUUCUUCUUUUUUCUCCCAACUGCAGUCGGUAAGUGAAGUUGCUAACUAAUUUUCUCUUCUUAUCACUCACUUAGCUCUCUGUUUAGAACGUUUAAGAGAUAGAAGAAGGAAAUGCUACUCGGUUUCCUAUUCUCCAUUCGGUGCUGAUCACUUCAAAGCUUCUUCACUCGGUGG
rnacentral:lncRNA from 1 species